rnacentral:rRNA from 1 species
UACGAAGGGGGCUAGCGUUGCUCGGAAUCACUGGGCGUAAAGGGUGCGUAGGCGGGUCUUUAAGUCAGAGGUGAAAUCCUGGAGCUCAACUCCAGAACUGCCUUUGAUACUGAAGAUCUUGAGUUCGGGAGAGGUGAGUGGAACUGCGAGUGUAGAGGUGAAAUUCGUAGAUAUUCGCAAGAACACCGGUGGCGAAGGCGGCCCACUGGUCCGGUACUGACGCUGAGGUGCGAAAGCGUGGGGAGCAAACAGG